UACGGGGGGGGCAAGCGUUGUUCGGAAUUACUGGGCGUAAAGGGCGCGUAGGCGGCCUUCUAAGUCAGACGUGAAAUCCCCCGGCUUAACCUGGGAACUGCGUCUGAUACUGGGAGGCUUGAGUAUGGGAGAGGGAUGUAGAAUUCCAGGUGUAGCGGUGAAAUGCGUAGAUAUCUGGAGGAAUACCGGUGGCGAAGGCGGCAUCCUGGACCAUAACUGACGCUGAGGCGCGAAAGCUAGGGGAGCAAACGGG
rnacentral:rRNA from 1 species